GGCUGGGCAAGGUGCGGGGCUAGGGCUAACAGCAGUCAUACUGAAGGUUUCCUGGAAACCACACACAUGCUGUUGCCACUAACCUCAACCUUACUCGGUC
ensembl:miRNA Mir744 microRNA 744